rnacentral:lncRNA from 1 species
UUUUGGGCUGGAAGAUGAUUCUGGGAACUUGCCAAAGAGGGUUUAUUUUACCAACCAGUUCUCUGAGUAGUCCACAAUAAGAAAAGGGAGAAAGUUAUUUUUAGAAAACUGUAUUUUUUUCUUACCAGGUAAAAAAGUUGUGAAAUUGAGAGUGGAAGGUAGAGAGUGGGGAAUUAAAAGGUGAAAACUAGAGAGAAGAGAGAGAAGAGAGAGAGAGAAGAGAGAGAGAAUCGUUUCCCUCCGGCGUACGGCCGGCGCGUGUGCGUCCGUGCCGUCGCCGGAGAAUUUCUUUCGUCUUGUUUUCGAUCCCUUUCCUCGGUGUCUUCGCAGAUCCACUAUCGUUCGCCUUGUCGGAGCUCUGUUGCCGUCACUUAUCGUAAAUGGUGGUGCGGCUUUGGAGUCGAGACGCGUCCGUACGGUGGAGCGCGGAGGUGACGGGGCUUUUGAUGCGCGCACUGGUGGUUUUAUUUCCGGGCGAUGGAGGCUUUCAUAGUUCCGUUGACGUCGGUUCUCUUGUGGGGGGUGGAGGCUCUCAUAGAUCCACCGUCGUCACUUUUGCUUCCGGGAAGGUGAGGUUUCUUUAACUCUCUUCGCCGGCUACUGGAUUACGGUGAGAGGAGGCUCACAUAGCUCCUUGAUACCGGGGUGGGACCCUUUGUUUUGGGUGUGGUGAUUAGAUCGAGGAUGGUAGAAGCGGUGGGCUUUGUCUUCUGUGAGGGGUUCGUGGGUCGCCGACGAUGAGAUAUCAGUUUAAGCUCUCCGGCGACGGCGAAGAAGUUUCUAGAAGAAGUUUAUGCGGUUCUCGGCUCGGCUGUCCAGCGUUUCUGGUGGUCCAAAGUCGGAGGUGUUCUCGGUUAUCUGAUGAACACGCCGGCGUGAAGACAGUUCGGCGAUGAACGUGUGGGUUCGUGCGGAGGCUCUGCAGGUUCGGAGCUCCGGCGGCUGUGGCGUCUCCUUGAGGCGCAUCUAGGGCGAACUGCCCGGUUUGGGCCGUGUGGCUGUCAGGUUUUAAUUGGGCUUGGCCCAUUGUGUUUUCUUUGUCUUGUUGCCCGGUUCGUGGGCCUUUGUUUUUUUAAAUCCUGUUAUGUUUGGGCUUCGGCUCUGGGCUUGGCCCAUCUAUCAAUAAUAACAAUUUGGGAAAAAAAAAAAAGUUGUGAAACAUAGUGGGCAACUGGUCAUUCACGAG